GGAGAGGUGGCAGAGCGGUUGAAUGCACCGGUCUUGAAAACCGGCAAGGGUUUGCGCCCUUCGAGGGUUCGAAUCCCUCCCUCUCCGCCA
rnacentral:tRNA from 1 species